rnacentral:rRNA from 1 species
UUGGAGGGCAAGUCUGGUGCCGGCAGCCGCGGUAAUUCCAGCUCCAAUAGCGUAUAUUAAAGUUGUUGCAGUUAAAAAGCUCGUAGUUGAAUUUCGGGGUCAGUAGGUUGGUCAUGCCACUGGUAUGUACUGGUCUCACUGAUUCCUCCUUCCUGAUGAACUGUAAUGCCAUUAAUUUGGUGUUGCAGGGAAUCUGGACUGUUACUUUGAAAAAAUUAGAGUGUUUAAAGCAGGCUAACGCCUGAAUACAUUAGCAUGGAAUAAUGAAAUAGGACGUUUGAUUCUAUUUUGUUGGUUUCUAGGAUCGACGUAAUGAUUAAUAGGGAUAGUUGGGGGCAUUAGUAUUCAAUUGUCAGAGGUGAAAUUCUUGGAUUUAUUGAAGACUAACUACUGCGAAAGCAUUUGCCAAGGUUGUUUUCAUUAAUCAAGAACGAAAGUUAGGGGAUCGAAGACGAUCAGAUACCGUCGUAGUCUUAACCAUAAACUAUGCCGACUAGGGAUCGGAUGAUGUUAACUUUUUAAUGACUCAUUCGGCGCCUUACGGGAAACCAAAGUGUUUGGGUUC